AACGAACGCUGGCGGCAGGCCUAACACAUGCAAGUCGAACGCACCGCAAGGUGAGUGGCGCACGGGUGAGUAACACGUGGGAAUGUAUCCUUUGGUUCGGAAUAACGUCUGGAAACGGACGCUAAUACCGGAUGAGCCCUUAGGGGGAAAGAUUUAUCGCCGAAGGAGCAGCCCGCGUCUGAUUAGGUAGUUGGUGGGGUAAAGGCCUACCAAGCCGACGAUCAGUAGCUGGUCUGAGAGGAUGAUCAGCCACACUGGGACUGAGACACGGCCCAGACUCCUACGGGAGGCAGCAGUGGGGAAUAUUGGACAAUGGGCGCAAGCCCGAUCCAGCCAUGCCGCGUGGGUGAUGAAGGCCUUCGGGUUGUAAAGCUCUUUCGCACACGACGAUGAUGACGGUAGUGUGAGAAGAAGCCCCGGCUAACUUCGUGCCAGCCGCCGCCGUAAGAC
rnacentral:rRNA from 1 species